rnacentral:lncRNA from 1 species
GAAGGAUGCUUGCCAGUGGAAAUAUCUGAGCUUUCAUAGAAAUUACACAGCAAGAGAUGUCGAAGAACCAGAGCAGCCAACUUAAAUUGAAGAUAACCAUUCCCCAAGGAAGUGAUGGUGGCAUCAUUAACCAUAUCAAGCAUUUCCUGAGCUCAAAGCCCAAGAAAUACCUCAUCUGAACUUGUGGGAUUUCCAGACUAGAAUGUCUCUAAGUAACAGCCAAAUCGCAGUGAAGGGAGAUGGUGUUUGCAUGGUGGAGCACACUCUGAGGUCCCUGGCACCCCAAAGAAAGCAAAAUGCACAUGAAACUAGACAUCCUUCAAGCCAAGUAAUAAGAGCUCGCAGCCUGAGGCAUUGAACUACAUUGAACAUAAAAGCC